UACGAAGGGUGCAAACGUUGCUCGGAAUUAUUGGGCGUAAAGCGCACGUAGGCGGCUUUGCAAGUCGGAUGUGAAAUCCCUCGGCUUAACCAAGGAAGUGCAUCCGAAACUGCAGAGCUUGAGUACUUAAGAGGAUCGCGGAAUUCCCGGUGUAGAGGUGAAAUUCGUAGAUAUCGGGGAGGAACACCAGUGGCGAAGGCGGCGAUCUGGGAAGAUACUGACGCUGAGGUGCGAAAGCGUGGGGAGCAACAGA
rnacentral:rRNA from 1 species